UGUAUGUGUGUGUGUGUGUGUGUGUCAGAGCACAUAUCUCAAUCAUCCUUUACCUUAUUUUUUAAAUCAAUCUCACUGAAUCACUGAACCAGAGCUGGCUAAUUUGGCAGGUCUGGCUGGCCAGCAAUCUACCUGCUCUGAUUUUUCUGUACACUAACUAUAAGCGUGAACCACCAUGUACCACCAUGAACCAUCAUAUACCACCAUGUACCACAAUGCACCAUGCACCACCAUGCACUACCAUGCACCAUUAUGCACCUUCAUGUACCACCAUGCACCAUGUACCACCAUGCACUACCAUGCACCACCAUGCACCACCAUGCACCACCAUGCAUCAUCAUGCACCACCAUGCACCAUCAUGCACCACCAUGUACCACCAUGCACCACUAUGUACCACCAUGCAUCACCAUGCACCACCAUGCUCCACCAUGCUUCACCAUGCAUCACCAUGCACCACCAUGCACCACCACGCACCACCAAGGACCACCAUGCACUAGCAGGCUUGGCCUCCCCUCCCUCAGUUUUUCUUUUUGUUUGUUUACCUUUUUUUAGGAAGUCAGGUGACUAACGUAGGGCUGACGAAAUCAUGUGUGCCUCCUGAGAGUAGAAGUCCUCACUCAGCCUAUGCCUGUCAGCUUCAUGACCUUUCACCUGGGUGUUGGUGAUCUGAACUCGGGGCCUUAGCUUAUAUUGCACUUUAAGCACUGAGCCAUCUCCAGAGCCCCAGAACUGCUAUUUCUACAGGGACGAGCUUUAUUCAUGAUUUAAAAAAAUUUUGUUUGUUUUCUUUUUGUUUGUUUGUUUGUUUGUUUGUUUUCGAGACAGGAACUCACUCUGUAGACCAGGCUGGCCUCGAACUCAGAAAUCUGCCUGCCUCUGCCUCCCGAGUGCUGGGAUUAAAGGCAUGUGCCACCACUGCCCGGCGAUUUAAUUUUUUUAUGGUGUGAUUGGAGGGCUUUGGAGUUCUUUUUAGCCACCCUUCAGUUUCCUUUGGGGAUGAUUAGAUAUAUUGGUGACAUCUACCACGAAUCUGGUCUAAACAUGCUUGCUUCACUCGUGCUUAUUUUUUUGCAUAGUGACUACUCUAUUGGCUGUGAUUGAUCUGCAGUGAAAUCUGCUACACCGUAUGCCGGUGCUCUGUGUACUGAGUACCAGUUAUUCUUACUGUUACAGAGUCACAGAUUGGCAGGCUCCAACUGGCAGGUGUCAUAAGUGAGUGUUUUGACAAUCUUUCACCAAUCUUAGAAGACAAGGGAUUUUUUUUUUUUUUGUUUUUGUCUUCUUUUGUUUUGGUUUGGUUAUUUUUGUUUUGGUUUGUUUUUUGUCUAUCUCCUCAGGUCUUCCUAAUGACCCCCUAGGCCCCACAAACAUUCGACAGGUCCCUAAGCUCUUUCCAGAAUGAAGUUACGCCUGUCUCUAAGGCUCCUUCUGCCUCCCUCAUUCUUUCCAACCUGCUGGUCUCUGCCCAGCUCUUGUCAGGAUCUUUAGGGUACCAGCUGGAAAACUUUCAGACUGUCAUCUACAUACCAACUCAAGCACUUACCUGGGCCCAGCAGCUAGAACAUCCUUUGUGCUUAUCCCGAGUCUUUGUGUAUUGCCCGAGCUUUUGUCCCCGCCGGCAAGAACACACUCAGGACAACCGGAAUCUUCUGCGGCAAAAAGCUUUAUUGCUUACUUAUCAGGAGGGAAGACCCCGAACGAGGAAAAUGGCGCUGCUUAUAUAGCCCGCAGCGUGACGUUUCAGCACCUGAUGUGGCGUGACAGCUCCUGACUCGUUGCUCGCCCAUCACCCCAUUACUACAGAGAUGGGCAGUGACUAGGUGUGAGUUCACUCUUGCACUUGCGCAUAAGGCUUGUUUACUAGUUAGGCACAGUGGAAGCCAGCGCCAUCUUAUAAUGGCGAUUGCUCGCGGCACGGCUCUCCACAUUUGUGCAGUUGGCUCCCUGGCCCUGGUGAUCAGGCGGGUGAUGCUCUUGCAUCUUUCUCAUUACCUGAUUGUCUCCUGGAGGCAGCAUGCUGGGUUUUCCCACGUAGAUCUCUGCUCCUACAGCAGCUAUCAUUUCCAGCUGACACUAACAUCCCUGCCUUAUGUGUGAGAAGAAUAAAGUGAUUUGCAGAAGGAGGUCAUUUGGCCAGGACCGUGAGACCAGUGCAGGUUCAUAAGUCACCCCUCCCCUACACUCUUAGCUGCUUCCGAGUCCUGCCGCCAUCUUGAAGCCAAGAGCCAGGCUCAGGUGGGACAUUUCUGGACUCAGAAU
rnacentral:lncRNA from 1 species